AAUCACGGCCUAAAGGCAUCCUUCCACAUCGGCAAAUGCCCAUUCUCAACGAUUGAAGACCAUCGACUGAAGACUCAUCGGCAAACCAAUCGUUCUUCGCCGGCAGCGCCUCCAGCUCCGGCAAAGACCCACUUCCAGAGGUUGGAUCAUAUCGCAAUUCAUUGUCCUGGGUUGAGGAUUCAAUGUGGCUAGUCAGAUGCAGAAGCACCUUCAAGCAUUAGGCCCCAAUUUACUAAGAACUGGACCUCCGUAAGCCAGAAUGUUAAACUAGGUGGGGUUAUGGGAUCUUUGGAAUCCACUCCAUUGCAACUUUUGGAUGUCAGAGGGGAUGAUGGUAUUGCUGAGUUAAUCAAACUCUAUAUCUCCUUGGAUGAAUGGAUCAGGUUAGAUGCAGUAGAUAUUGAUUAUGAGAAUGAAGUUGAUGGAGAGAUGUUGAAAAUCUUAGCAGCUCAUCAUGCUGAUCUUUUCAAUUUAGGUGGUUUACAGUGACUAGAAAUGGUCUAUGAGUUACAUUAUCAGGUAGUAACAGUCAUUUUUUACAGUCAUUUGUUCGAUAACAACUUCACAUUAGCUCUUAGGUUGCAGCUCAGAGAUCCUUUUCGUGACUUUGAAAUGGUUGGAUCAUCAAUGCUUGCUCUGGCUCAAGUUGAAAGAAUUUGUAUUCCUGUGCAUGCCGAAAUGCACAACACAAAAUAGAGAAACGGAUUUGAGCAACGAAAAGGAUGAUCUGAAUGAAGAGUUUGUUAUGGAAGGAACCAGUGCUGAAGAAAAUCAUAAGUGCAUCAAUGCACCAUUCAUCUGUCUGUUUAAAAUCUCUGGUGUCCAUGUCACAAGUUUUAAUGUUGAGCCAAAUGGUAGGGGCAUGUUAAUUGAUCCUAGACAGCUACAGUCUGGGUCUCGAUGGUUGCUUUCUAGUGGUAUGAAUAGGACAAGCAAGCAUCCUUUUCCCAUGUCCAAUCAAAAUCAUCCAUUUUCUGACACA